AACGUAGGACGCAAGCGUUAUCCGGAGUUACUGGGCGUAAAGCGCGGGCAGGCGGCUCGAUGCGUCUGAUGUGAAAUCUCCUCGCUCAACGGGGAGAGGCCAUUGGAAACGGUCGGGCUGGAGGGCAGUAGAGGUAGGCGGAAUUCCGGGUGGAGUGGUGAAAUGCGUAGAGAUCCGGAGGAACACCAGAGGCGAAGGCGGCCUACUGGGCUGCACCUGACGCUGAGCCGCGAAAGCCAGGGGAGCGAACGGG
rnacentral:rRNA from 1 species